rfam:Poecilia formosa, whole genome shotgun sequence.
UUACAAUUAAAGGAUAUUUCUCGUGGAUGUCAUAAAAAAACGGAAAUAUCUCUUAAUUGUUUGGU